GGGCCGCUAGCUCAUUUGGUAGAGCACCUGACUCUUAAUCAGGGUGUGCGGGGUUCGAGCCCCCGGCGGCCCACUA
rnacentral:tRNA from 27 species